UAUCCUCACAUGCACCUCAUUCUAGAACUGACUUCAUCACAUGACUCAUGUUUGCUGUGCAUCGCCCGUCUCCUGGAGUUUGUUUAAGAAGCUGACAGUCAUCAAGUCUCCACUGCAAACAAGCCUGACCCCUCGAGGAACCUCGUGGAGCUCCAGGUCUGUCUGUCUGUCUGUCUAUUUCGUUAAUCCAUUUUCAUUCAGAAAAUGGCACCACUCAUCUGUUGAUCCUUCCUCCUCACUUUGAUUUAGGGAUCUUUGGUGUUGCCUGGAGGUGUGCGCACCUGGUGUGACUGUUUUGAGGAUACUUUGUGGUGAAGGCAUGCCCGGGCUCUGUGACUCAGCGUGGGCGGCAGCAAGCUGCAGUGGAACACUUUGCUUGCCAAAGGAAGACCCAGUGACUCAGUUGGACUCCAUGCAUGAGUGUUUGUCAAAGGAGACAUGAAGUAUACUACAAAGUGAGAUCAGAUAGAGUUUUAAAUGACAAAACAUAAAUACUAUAAUGGAUAGCCUUGCAGGCAUGGAGCAAUUAGUAUGAUGAACUCCGUCAAACCACAUGAUAAAGUUACCAGGACAUAGGAAUCUCCUGAUCUAAGUUGUUAGCAGCAAUUUUAUUUCGAUCUUUAAAAUGAUUUGUGUUGUCUGUCAGUUUUUGAGAACGAUUUGGAAUAUUUUUAAAGCAUCAUCAUUUUGGACUCUAAAAACCUUAAGAAGCAAUUGUACCAAAAUGACAUCAUUGGCUGGAAAUAAUAACGGAGAGCACAACCCUAUCGUGUGGGCGCCAAAUUGCAGCGAUCAUAAAAACUGAACGUGUCACCGCUUGUGGGAGUGUGUAAAAUGGAUCCUGGAGGAGUUUUGUUUUGUCCUGAGCGUUGUGGCAGCCUUGAAGUUAACAUCAGCACUUUCCGGCCCCCGCUCUUUGUACAUAGACUAAACUGUGGCGCCUGGGACACAUAACGGAAACAUGAUAACAUGCCAUGUGCAAAUACAGAGGAGGAUAGUAAUUAUGACAUAAAAAGACACCCCCCAGAAACUCUUUUUUGUUUCUUUCUCUUUUCAGCAGUUUUUUCAGCCGGAGGCAGCGGGUGAUACAUCAGUCUGGUGACCAGGUCAGGGUGUAAUUCAUCUUUACACAUCUUUGCCCAGCUGGGAUAGGCUCCACUCCAGCUCCUUGUGACCUCCUCAACAGGAAGAGAAUGGAUGGGUGGAUUAAGAAGAUAAGAAUGGAUGAAUGGAUGGCUUAAGAAGUCGUAUAAUUAUUUUAUUUUUGGCCCUAAGCCCCACCCUUAGAGUACACUUGUGGGGUGUUACUUAUUCCAGUCAUUGGGGUAAAGGCAAGUCCAGUCAAUGAAUGCACAACAACAGAUGUAACGGU